ensembl:lncRNA
CCCUGGAGAGACUUAACUUUUAUCUGUUAGGUGACAUGUGACCAGGUGAAACUAAUUAUAUAAGUAGCAUGUUUAGGUUGCUGGUGACUAUAGUAUUUGAGCACAGUGUAGACUUUAUGUUAGUAUUGGGGUCUCCUUUUGUUAAUCCUCUUUUAAGAUAUGUUAUGGGCAAUGAAGAGGCUCCAUCUAAUUUUCAUUGCUUUGGUUCUUUGGAGAGAUACAAAUGGAUUUGGAGUGUGGAAUAGAACCUCUGUUGUUGACUUGCAAGCUGGACAUUUUAAUGCAACAUGGAACCAAAAUUUUCACUUGGCUACACCUGUUCAAUCUUUGGAGCUACUGUCCAGGAAAGGUGCAAAUGGAGAUGAAGGCGGAAGAAAAUUCUAGUAGUUUCAGUUAUACUUUGGCAGUCCAAACUGCUCCCCAGGAUUCUAGUUUUGUUCAGUCUUCUGGUGGUGCUGCUCAAGGUAAACCUGUACUAAAUGCUCAAGGUCAAGCAACUCCCAUGGUUCAACCGCAGGACAACUUGAUGACUCAGUCCUCAAGGCUCUAUUGGUUUGAAUCUCUCAAGCCUGAAAACUGUGGCACUUUGCUCUCUCAAUCUUGGCCUCAAAAAGGUCAGAAUAACGGUGGAUUCCAAAGACCAUCCAGGUUCCAGUUUGGAGGCACUGCAAACCAGACAUCUGGAUCCCAGACCCAGUCGUCAUACCAGCCUAGCACCACAACACAGGUUCAGACAGGCGAGUCUAUUGCCCAGCCUGAGUCGUUCGGAGCUUCAGCUUCAUAUCCAAGUCAAACCUCUGGCAUGUACUCUGUUGUACAGGGUCCUCUGAUUGCAUCCUCUUCCCAAAUGCCUGGGUUCCACAUCCAGUCAUCAUACCAGCCUGGCACCACAACACAGGUUCAGACAGGCCAGUCUGCGUCUACAUCUCAGGCUCAGUCCUCUGGUGCGUCAACGUUGUAUCAAGGGAUUAGCUCUGGCAGGUAUCUGACUUCACUGGGUCAUAUAAUUCCAUCCUCCUCCCAGUCUGUGGUCACUACAAACCAGACAUCUGGAUCCCAGACCCAGUCAUCAUACCAGCCUGGCACCACAACACUGCUUCAGACAGGCCAGUCUGCUUCUACAUCUCAGGCUCUUGGCAGCCAUGGAGCUGCACCUUCAGGACAUGCUAAAUGGUACACCAUUGUACAAGGUCAGACAAUUCCAUCUUCUCAAGCCUCUGGAUCCCAGACCCAGUCAUCAUACCAGCCUGGCACCACAACACAGGUUCAGACAGGCCAGUCUGCUUCUACAUCUCGGGCUCAGUCCUCUGGUGCAUCAACAUUGUAUCCAGGGAUUAGGAGGAAUGUGACUUCUCUGGGUCAUGGCUUUCCAUACUCAACCCAGUCUGUGGUGACCGCAAACCAGACAUCUGGAUCCCAGACCCAGUCAUCAUACCAGCCUAGCACUACAACACUGCUUCAGACAGGCCAGCCUGUUCUUCCUCAGAGUCAGCCUUCGGGAGCUUCUGCUCCAUAUCCAAGUCAAACCUCUGGAGUGUACAAUAUUGCACAGCGUCCAUUGACUGCAACCCUUUCCGAAAUACCUGGGUUCCACAUCCAGUCAUCAUACCAGCCUGGCACUACAACACUGCUUCAGACAGGCCAGUCUGCGUCUACAUCUCAGGCUCAGUCCUCUGGAGCAUCAACGUUGUAUCAAGGGAUUAGCUCUGGCAGGUAUCUGACGUCACUGGGUCAUAUAAUUCCUUCCUCCUCCCAGUCUGUGGUCACUACAAACCAGACAUCUGGAUCCCAGACCCAGUCAUCAUACCAGCCUGGCACCACAACACUGCUUCAGACAGCCCAGUCUGCUCCUACAUCUCAGGCUCAGUCCUCUGGUGCAUCAACAUUGUAUCAAGGAAUUAGGAGGAAUGUGACUUCUCUGGGUCAUGGCUUUCCAUACUCAACCCAGUCUGUGGUGACUGCAAACCAGACAUCUGGAGCCCAGACCCAGUCAUCAUACCAGCCUGGCACCACAACACUGCUUCAGACAGGCCAGUCUGCUUCUACAUCUCAGGCUCUUGGCAGCCAUGGAGCUGCACCUUCAGGACAUGCUAAAUGGUACACCAUUGUACAAGGUCAGACAAUUCCAUCUUCUCAAGCCUCUGGAUCCCAGACCCAGUCAUCAUACCAGCCUAGCACUACAACACUCCUUCAGACAGGCCAGCCUGUUCUUCCUCAGAGUCAGCCUUCGGGAGCUUCUGCUUCAUAUCCAAGUCAAACCUCUGGCGUGUACAAUAUUGCACAGCGUCCAUUGACUGCAACCCUUUCCGAAAUACCUGGGUUCCACAUCCAGUCAUCAUACCAGCCUGGCACUACAACACUGCUUCAGACAGGCCAGUCUGCGUCUACAUCUCAGGCUCAGUCCUCUGGCGCAUCAACAUUGUAUCAAGGAAUUAGGAGGAAUGUGACUUCUCUGGGUCAUGGCUUUCCAUACUCAACCCAGUCUGUGGUGACUGCAAACCAGACAUCUGGAUCCCAGACCCAGUCAUCAUACCAGCCUGGCACCACAACACUGCUUCAGACAGGCCAGUCUGCUUCUACAUCUCAGGCUCUUGGCAGCCAUGGAGCUGCACCUUCAGGACAUGCUAAAUGGUACACCAUUGUACAAGGUCAGACAAUUCCAUCUUCUCAAGCCUCUGGAUCCCAGACCCCGUCAUCAUACCAGCCUAGCACUACAACACUGCUUCAGACAGGCCUGUCUGCUUCUACAUCUCAGGCUCAGUCCUCUGGUGCCUCAACAUUCUAUCAAGGGAUUAGCUCUGGCAGGUAUCUGACUUCACUGGGUCAGAGCAUUCCAUCCUCCUCCCACUCUGUGGUCACUACAAACAAAAUCUCUGGAUUGCAGGACCAGUCAUUUCAGCCUGACACCACAACAAAUGCUUUGGUGGGUCAGUCUGCUUCUACAUCUUUGGCUCACGGCAACAUUCAGGCUCCAAAUUGGCAUACGAUAACUCCUCCUAGAUUCCAUAAUUUGCUACGGAACUUGUCGGUUUCUCAAUCUCUGAGCUCUGAUCCCCAAACAAGAACAAUCAACAAUAUUUUGCCGUUUCUGAACCAAAGUGCUGGGACUUCUGCCAUGUCUCAGAAUAAUGUACAGACCCCAGCAUUUCACACAUCUACACACUUCUCACCUGUCCCACAAACUGUUGCCACUCCCCCAGUCUCUCUACCCAAGCCUUGCCGACAGACACAAUGCUCAAUGGUGGAGAGUGCAAUUGCCUCUAUAGCAUCCAGCCAAACCUCUCCUCGUGUUGCCACAUCAUCUCAAGGCACAGGCUCUUUUGCUGCUGUACCCAUUCCAGGUACCUCACAGAAUUUUGCAGGCAUUGAUUUCCAGGGUACAUUGCCAGUACAUGACCAGUACAGCUCGGUGUGUAACUUUCCAUUUGGUUUCUGCAAUUCUCCUCAAGGAGCUGCAAACAACAAAUUUGUUCGAAGCCAGAGUGUACAGACACACAACCUGUGAACCAAGAAUUCAUGGGACACUUUCUGGAAUCAGUGCCUCAUCAGCAUUCUGUGUUCCACAAAGCUUUUCCAAUACACCUGAAAUUGUGAGCUCAGCCACUUACAGCUCCCCCCCAUUUCCCAACACCAGGCCCUCCUGACAAUCUCAACUGUAAGAUUAACUACUGAGUGCUUUGAUCGCUGACUGAAUAUGCUCAUUUGUGG